ACGCUCGACACCUACGAGAGGCAGCAGUGGGGAAUAUUGCACAAUGGGGGAAACCCUGAUGCAGCGACGCCGCGUGAGCGAAGAAGUAUUUCGGUAUGUAAAGCUCUAUCAGCAGGGAAGAUAAUGACGGUACCUGACUAAGAAGCUCCGGCUAAAUACGUGCCAGUAGCCGCGGUAAUCUGAGCGGGCGUGGCAAGGC
rnacentral:rRNA from 1 species